ACCGGCUCAUAACCGGUUGGUCGCAAGUUCAACCCUUGCAGGUUCCACCA
rnacentral:tRNA from 1 species